CUCCAGAGCUGCCAACUCUUUGGUAACCAGGGAACUGAUCUCCAUCUCUAAUAUGGAAUAGUAAAAUAGCCACUUGGAUUUAUUGUUUUCUGUGUGCUUAGCAAUGAGCUGGGAGUUCUAUAUUUUUGUUUUACCUGGGACUAGGUAUGGUGGAUCUUUUGGGAGCCACAAGUACUGUAUCAGUCUGGGUCCAAUCAGGAGAGAGGAACCAAGUAAGGGCUUAAGCAAUGGGAAUUUAUUUAUUUAUUUAUUUUUAUUUUUAUUUUUAGCAAUGGGAGUUUAAAGAAUGUCAUGUGAUGAUAAAAGAGUAACUAGAGGACGUAAAGAGAGCCCCAUAGGGCUACUCUCCCUACAACUGAGAAAGGGAACCAAGGAAGGGGUAUAGUCUCAGAAGGAGGCUGCCUCUCAGGACUAUGGAUCAGAUCUUGUUGGAGAAGGUAUCAUGGCAGCCCCUUGGAUGGUGGACAAAUUUGCGGGUACCUUGGCCAGAGCUGGUCUUCAAUUGCUAGACAAGGAUAAAGCAAUCUGCCAGAGCACAGCUAAACACCCAGCUACUUGUCGGUGGUGAUGUACACCAGUUUCCAUACUUCCUACUGUUCGAGGCAUGUGGGGGGGUGGUUCCAGCGAAGGAAGAGGCAGAUGAAUGGUUCGCAUGGGAGCAGUGGGCACCCCGAUGGAGGAUGGAGGACCGACAGCAGAGUUCGGAGAUGGGCAGAGAAAAGCCAACUUUUCUCCCUUUAGGCUUGCGAGUGGAAGAGUGAGGAGCCAGGAAAGGUAAAUGCUGUCAUCUGCUGGUCGUUUCCUGUGUAGCAGCAUCAAAAUAAGAGUUUUGCAAAGCUCUUGUUUAGACUUAGCCAAGGACCCAGGAAGGAGGAGGAGGCAUUUGCAGAGCACUUGCUGUUUAUAAGGGACCAUCUUCAAGGAUGCUCUGAGUACAGACAUGAAUUGGCCUCGGAUGCUGCCAGUAAAGGGGGCGCAGACUCCAGGGAGCCUGUACCUGUGCGCCUCAAACACAUCCUUCAGCCUCUUUGGACUUCAGGUUCCUCAUUGGGUGUGUGGACCAGGGUGGUCUCCAAGCCUCCAGAGGGAGGACCUUGAAAGAUGAAAAGAAUGUUACAGAUGGGUACUGAGGAAGAAUGUAAGAGAGACAAGAGAAGCCCUGGGAAAGCCUGACACACGUGUCCUCUUCCCUUGUCCCCUUGUUUGUGAUGCCGUGGGUUAGGCUCCGGGUCUCUAAGCACCUGCCUUCCUCUGACCUCUUUCUGCUCAGGGGAAGGGACAGAGGAGUUGGAAAGACUUCUUGAGUGAACAAUGGAACCAACACCUGUGAAGUCUCCACCAAUGUUAGGAAAUAGAACCAUAUUGUUGCCUCUGAAGUCAUCUAUUAUAUGAAUAUAACCUAAUUUAUUUAUACAUUCUACUGUGGAUGGCAUUUGAAUUGUUUGCUCUUGUCUCCAGGUUUUGCUGCCUUGGACAUCCACGAGCAUCUAUUUCUGUCAAGCAUAUACGCAGGGGGUGGAAUUGUUGGAUUGUAGACCAGGUGCAUUUUCAACUUUAGAGAUAAUUACAAUUCAUUAUCCCAAGAGGUUGCAUCGCUGGAAACUCGCAUUAGAAGUGUGUGCAAGUUCACAUUAGUUCAGAUUCACUGCAGGUACUUGAUGCUCUCAGAUUUUUUAUUUUAUUAUUUUUUUAAAAAUAAAGGUUUUGCUGAUUUGGUGAGGGUGAAAUAGUGUUUUACUGUUAUUUUUUUAAGAUUUUAUUUAUGUAUUCAAGAGAGACACAGAGAGGGAGAGAGAGACGCAAGCAGAGGGAGAAGCAGGCUCCCUGCGGGGAGUCCGAUGCAGGACUUGAU